CGUGAAGAGGGAAACAACCCAGACCGCCAGCUAAGGUCCCAAAGUCAUGGUUAAGUGGGAAACGAUGUGGGAAGGCACAGACAGCCAGGAUGUUGGCUUAGAAGCAGCCAUCAUUUAAAGAAAGCGUAAUAGCUCACUGGUCGAGUCGGCCUGCGCGGAAGAUGUAACGGGGCUAAACCAUGCACCGAAGCUGCGGCAGCGACACUAUGUGUUGUUGGGUAGGGGAGCGUUCUGUAAGCCUGCGAAGGUG
rnacentral:rRNA from 1 species